CACCCGAGACUCAGUGAAAUUGAACUCGCUGUGAAGAUGCAGUGUACCCGCGGCAAGACGGAAAGACCCCGUGAACCUUUACUAUAGCUUGACACUGAACAUUGAGCCUUGAUGUGUAGGAUAGGUGGGAGGCUUUGAAGUGUGGACGCCAGUCUGCAUGGAGCCGGCCUUGAAAUACCACCCUUUAAUGUUUGAUGUUCUAACGUGGACCCGUGAUCCGGGUUGCGGACAGUGUCUGGUGGGUAGUUUGACUGGGGCGGUCUCCUCCUAAAGAGUAACGGAGGAGCACGAAGGUUGGCUAAUCCUGGUCGGACAUCAGGAGGUUAGUGCAAUGGCAUAAGCCAGCUUGACUGCGAGCGUGACGGCGCGAGCAGGUGCGAAAGCAGGUCAUAGUGAUCCGGUGGUUCUGAAUGGAAGGGCCAUCGCUCAACGGAUAAAAGGUACUCCGGGGAUAACAGGCUGAUACCGCCCAAGAGUUCAUAUCGACGGCGGUGUUUGGCACCUCGAUGUCGGCUCAUCACAUCCUGGGGCUGAAGUAGGUCCCAAGGGUAUGGCUGUUCGCCAUUUAAAGUGGUACGCGAGCUGGGUUUAGAACGUCGUGAGACAGUUCGGUCCCUAUCUGCCGUGGGCGCUGGAGAACUGAGGGGGGCUGCUCCUAGUACGAGAGGACCGGAGUGGACGCAUCACUGGUGUUCGGGUUGUCAUGCCAAUGGCACUGCCCGGUAGCUAAAUGCGGAAGAGAUAAGUGCUGAAAGCAUCUAAGCACGAAACUUGCCCCGAGAUGAGUUCUCCCUGAGACUUAGAGUCUCCUGAAGGAACGUUGAAGACGACGACGUUGAUAGGCCGGGUGUGUAAGCGCAGCGAUGCGUUGAGCUAACCGGUACUAAUGAACCGUGAGGCUUAACCUUACA
rnacentral:rRNA from 1 species